CCCUUAGAUGUUCUGGGCUGCACGCGCGCUACACUGAUACUUUCAGCGAGUCCACCACCUUGCCUGGGAGGGUGGGGUAACCUCUGGAAAGUGCAUCGUGAUGGGGAUCGAUUAUUGUAAUUAUUAAUCUUCAACGAGGAAUUCCUAGUAAGCAUGUGUCAUCAGCCCGUGCUGAUUACGUCCCUGCCCUUUGUACACACCGCCCGUCGCUCCUACCGAUGAGUCGUCCGGUGAAGUUCGUAGACCUCGUGAUCGCGGAUCACUGGGGGAAGCAAAAUGAACCUCGCGGUUUAGAGGAAGGAGAAGUCGUAACA
rnacentral:rRNA from 1 species